rnacentral:hammerhead_ribozyme from 1 species
GUCCGGCCGGAGAGUUUCAAAUAAGACGAAACACGUGUCCCGGAU